GACGAACGCUGGCGGCGUGCUUAACACAUGCAAGUCGAGCGGUAAGGCCCUUUCGGGGGUACACGAGCGGCGAACGGGUGAGUAACACGUGGGUGACCUGCCCUCAGCUCUGGGAUAAGCCUGGGAAACCGGGUCUAAUACCGGAUAUGACUCCAUGACGCAUGUUGUGGGGUGGAAAGCCUUGUGCGGCUGAGGAUGGGCCCGCGGCCUAUCAGCUUGUUGGUGGGGUGAUGGCCUACCAAAGGCGACGACGGGUAGCCGGCCUGAGAGGGCGACCGGCCACACUGGGACUGAGACACGGCCCAGACUCCUACGGGAGGCAGCAGUGGGGAAUCUUGCGC
rnacentral:rRNA from 1 species